rnacentral:misc_RNA from 1 species
CAAGUUUGAUUUGAAGGCCUGAAGGUGAAUUUAUACAAGAGAUAACAUCAUCUCUUUUCAAAUAAAUUUUUUCCAUGCUCAACCAAUGUCUAAAGUCCAAACCAGUAAUAAAGUUUCUUUUGUGCUUUUGUUAUUAACAUCGGACUAGAAAUAGUUAGUAUUUCUGUUGUUUUUCCAAUUUAUUAAUUUAUUUAUUUUUGGGUUUCAAAUUUCUUAUUCAUUUCUUUUUUUUGAAGGAAUAACAAUAAUACAAGAAUAUUGUUCAGCAUAAAAAGCUUUUCCUACAUUUAAAUGAGGGCUAUUCUGUGUUUUGUUAAGUCUACAUGCACUUAAAACUUUGGAUAAGUUAAGGCUCUACUGUUUUGGUCAAGAUAUAGAGCUAGUGAAAAUUGCUUGUAUUUUAGAUGUCUCUAGCAUGCAUAUAGGACUUGCUCCAAGUUCCAUUUCUAUUUUGGCCUUAGCAAUGAGAUUACAAAGGCUGGCUUUGUCGGCGGGCAUGUGUGGGUUUACUCGAUUGAGGGGAAAAAAAAGGUGAAUGGACAACAUUGGGGAAAAAGGCUACAAUUUAGGUGCUAAAUUUAGACACAUUCCUUCUCUAUAUGAUGCUUCAUUCGAGCUUUUCCUUCUUGCAUGAAGAGGGUUAUUCACCUUUUGCAAACUAAAUGGUUAUGACUUUUGCUACCAAAUCAUGAUUCAGCUGUCUGUAACAUGUCCUCUGUUGAUUUUAUCUUCAUGUUCAAUGCUAAUGGAGCUCGAAGGUUAUUCGGGUUGAAGAAUGCAGGUUAGCUUGACUUAAUCAAUUACCAUAAUCAAUUUUGUAAUUUCGAGUUUAAAAAGAAAUCUUUUUGACAAGAAAAAUAGCAGCAACUUUCCUUGCUAAUUUUGCUGGAUGAUUUCUUGAUUUUAUUAAUUGAUGUAAAAGCAGAUAGUUAAAUUAUCUGUUAGGAAGUUAUAAGAUUAGUUAGUUUGUUGUACAGUAGUCAUGAGAGGAGUUAGUUUGUUAUUCAGUUUAGCUUUCUCGCCUCUAUUCUUCAUUCUGUAUAUAAGCAUUUGUACAAUCAGUUAUCAAUCAUAAUAAAGAUUCACUUCUUUCACACUUUUGCAAUAUGGUAUCAAAGCAAUUUUCUCUCAAAAACAAUUAUUCUCUCUUCAUCUUCUUGAUUUUCUUUCUUGUUCUCAAAGUUCUUUCUUCCUUACUUCUUGAAGUUCUUUCUCUUGAAAGUUUUCAAUGGCUGUUAAUUCCAGCCGUGAUCAUUUUCAGAAUCCUUCUAAUCCUUACUUUCUACAUCCUAAUGAAAAUCCAGCCCUGGUGCUGGUUUCUCUAGUUUUCACUGGAUCCAAUUAUCAUUCGUGGGCAAGGGCAAUGAAGAUGGCUUUGGCAUCCAAGAAAAAACUUCAAUUUGUUGAUGGCACAUUUACUACACCUCCUGCCAAACUGAUCCAAUGUAUUCUACUUGGGAGAGAUGCAAUGCGAUGAUGUUAUUUGGAUCUGUCACCUGCAAUUGCCCAAAGUAUUCUCUGGAUUGAUAGAUAUGUUGAUGUGUGGAAUGAUUUGAAGGAUAGGUUUUCUCAAGGGGAUGUGAUUUGUAUAUCAAAUCUGCAAGAAGAAAUUUACAGUUUUAAGCAAGGUGAGUUAUCAAUUACUAACUACUUUACUCAUCUCAAGAUUCUUUGGGAUGAGUUGCCGAAUUUUAGAUCGAUUCCCUCAUGUUCUUGUGCUACACCUUUUACUUGUGGUGCUAUUACUACUGUUCAGAAUUAUCAAAAGACUGAUUAUGUCAGAAGGUUUUUGAAAUGAUUGAAUGGCCAGUUCUCACAUGUAAAGUCCCAAAUUAUGAUGAUGGAGCCACUACCUUCCAUUAACAAAGUUUUCUAUUUAGUAAUUCAACAGGAAAGGCAAAUGCCAUCUGUUAGUAAUUUGGAAUCAUGAGUGUUUGUCUGUCAGUAAGGCUGUUAAGUAGGAAAAUAGUGGUUAUGGGAAUUGUGGCUCCCAUAGAAGAGAGAAUGACAAUGUCAACAGUAACUUUGGGAAUUCUAGUUCUUUUGGUGGAGGUCAAUAUAGCUCAAAUGCUAGCACAGGACAAUCAAAUGGUCCUAUUAAAUUCUGUACCUAUUGUGCAAGCAGAGAUAUACCAUUGAUACUUGUUAUAGGAAGCAUGGCUUUUCUCCAGGAUUUAAGUUUAAAAACUUAAAUCCUUCUGCUAAUGUUGUGUAUACUGAGAUUAUUUCACCUGCACCUACUAAUGUUGACUCAACAUUGUUGAGUAUACUGAGAUCAUUUCACCUCAGAGCUAUAUCAGAAGCUACUAUCCUUGAUUUAGGAUCAUUCUUUGACAGCACAACUUGUUCAUUCCACCAACCAAAUUACUACUCAACCAUCCACAUCCAAUAUUCAAGACCACAACCUUAUUUCCAACCAAUCAUCAGGUAACCAUUUUACUUUCCUCACCAAAUCCUCUACUGAUAUUUGGAUCUUAGACACAGGAGCUACUGACCACAUUUGUUUUUCAUUGUCAGCUUUUGCCACUUAAAGAAAAAUUAAACCUAUUUCUAUCAAAUUACCCAUUGUUGACCACGUUUUUGCUUUCAUUUCUAGCACUAUUCAUUUUACUAAUAACUUAUAUUUGGUAGAUGUCCUUUAUGUUCCAGCCUUUACAUUCAACUUAAUUUCUGUAAUCAAACUCACAUCUCUGCUACAUUGUUAUCUAAUUUUUCAAAACUCUUAUUGUUUCAUUCAGA